UUUGUCUUUGGAUCCUUCCUGUGGGGCCAGAAAGCUCCCUUCACUGAGGAGGAGAAGAUACUAAAUAGGAGGAUGAUGAAGUAUUGGGCCAACUUUGCACAAAAUGGGAACCCCAAUGGUGAGGGCCUGCCCCACUGGCCUGCAUUGGACAACGAGGAGCUGUACCUGCAGCUGGACAUUGAGCCUACUGUGGGCCGUGCCCUGAAGGCCUCCAGGCUGAAGUUCUGGAUGGAGACCCUGCCCCAGAAGAUCCAGGAGCUAAAGAGGGCUGAGGAGAAGCACACAGAAUUGUAGCUCCCUGUGUGUGGGAGGGAAGGCUGGGUGUGAGUGCAUGUAGGGUCUGCCUAGGAGAACACACACUCACAUGCUCAUACAACCAUUAAUCCACUCUUCAUGCCUCCAUUCAGCCCUCUCUCAUGAGGAAUCUCAUGCAUAAUGUUCAUUGCUAAGCCUG